rnacentral:sRNA from 1 species
UGCAAGACUUGUGCUGAUGAACAGCGAU